GGGGAUAUAGUUUAGUGGCACAGCACCUGCCUGGCAAACACAAGGUCCUGGGUUCAAUUCCAGGUAAUACCA
rnacentral:tRNA from 1 species